AGCCCGGUUGUGGAGGGAUUCCACGCUUGCUUCUCGUGCGGCAAUGGCGGAGAUGUAUAUGCAGGAGCGCUCGUUCGACUCGAGCCUGGGCCA